rnacentral:rRNA from 1 species
GCCUAAUACAUGCAAGUAGAACGCUGAAGAGAGGAGCUUGCUCUUCUUGGAUGAGUUGCGAACGGGUGAGUAACGCGUAGGUAACCUGCCUUGUAGCGGGGGAUAACUAUUGGAAACGAUAGCUAAUACCGCAUAACAAUGGAUGACACAUGUCAUUUAUUUGAAAGGGGCAAUUGCUCCACUACAAGAUGGACCUGCGUUGUAUUAGCUAGUAGGUGAGGUAAUGGCUCACCUAGGCGACGAUACAUAGCCGACCUGAGAGGGUGAUCGGCCACACUGGGACUGAGACACGGCCCAGACUCCUACGGGAGGCAGCAGUAGGGAAUCUUCGGCAAUGGGGGCAACCCUGACCGAGCAACGCCGCGUGAGUGAAGAAGGUUUUCGGAUCGUAAAGCUCUGUUGUAAGUCAAGAACGGGUGUGAGAGUGGAAAGUUCACACUGUGACGGUAGCUUACCAGAAAGGGACGGCUAACUACGUGCCAGCAGCCGCGGUAAUACGUAGGUCCCGAGCGUUGUCCGGAUUUAUUGGGCGUAAAGCGAGCGCAGGCGGUUUGAUAAGUCUGAAGUUAAAGGCUGUGGCUCAACCAUAGUUCGCUUUGGAAACUGUCAAACUUGAGUGCAGAAGGGGAGAGUGGAAUUCCAUGUGUAGCGGUGAAAUGCGUAGAUAUAUGGAGGAACACCGGUGGCGAAAGCGGCUCUCUGGUCUGUAACUGACGCUGAGGCUCGAAAGCGUGGGGAGCGAACAGGAUUAGAUACCCUGGUAGUCCACGCCGUAAACGAUGAGUGCUAGGUGUUGGAUCCUUUCCGGGAUUCAGUGCCGCAGCUAACGCAUUAAGCACUCCGCCUGGGGAGUACGACCGCAAGGUUGAAACUCAAAGGAAUUGACGGGGGCCCGCACAAGCGGUGGAGCAUGUGGUUUAAUUCGAAGCAACGCGAAGAACCUUACCAGGUCUUGACAUCCCGAUGCUAUUUCUAGAGAUAGAAAGUUACUUCGGUACAUCGGUGACAGGUGGUGCAUGGUUGUCGUCAGCUCGUGUCGUGAGAUGUUGGGUUAAGUCCCGCAACGAGCGCAACCCCUAUUGUUAGUUGCCAUCAUUCAGUUGGGCACUCUAGCGAGACUGCCGGUAAUAAACCGGAGGAAGGUGGGGAUGACGUCAAAUCAUCAUGCCCCUUAUGACCUGGGCUACACACGUGCUACAAUGGUUGGUACAACGAGUUGCGAGUCGGUGACGGCGAGCUAAUCUCUUAAAGCCAAUCUCAGUUCGGAUUGUAGGCUGCAACUCGCCUACAUGAAGUCGGAAUCGCUAGUAAUCGCGGAUCAGCACGCCGCGGUGAAUACGUUCCCGGGCCUUGUACACACCGCCCGUCACACCACGAGAGUUUGUAACACCCGAAGUCGGUGAGGUAACCUUUUGGAGCCAGCCGCCUAAGGUGGGACAGAUGAUUGGGGUGAAGUCGUA